GACGAACGCUGGCGGCGUGCUUAACACAUGCAAGUCGAACGCUGAAGCUUGGUGCUUGCACUGGGUGGAUGAGUGGCGCACGGGUGAGUAAUAAGUGAGUAACCUGCCCUUGACUCUGGGAUAAGCCUGGGAAACUGGGUCUAAUACUGGAUACGACAUGUCACCGCAUGGUGGUGUGUGGAAAGGGUUUUAGUGGUUUUGGAUGGGCGCACGGCCUAUCAGCUUGUUGGUGGGGUAAUGGCUCACCAAGGCGACGGCGGGUAGCCGGCCUGAGAGGGUGACCGGCCACCCUGGGACUGAGACACGGCCCAGACUCCUACGGGAGGCAGCAGUGGGGAAUAUUGCACAAUGGGCGGAAGCCUGAUGCAGCGACGCCGCGUGAGGGAUGACGGCCUUCGGGUUGUAAACCUUUUUCAGCACGGAAGAAGCGAAAGUGACGGUACGUGCAGAAGAAGCGCCGGCUAACUACGUG
rnacentral:rRNA from 1 species